GCUCUCCCACACAAGACACAGUCUCUGACAGUUUUGUUACUUCAGAUUUAUUCAGCAAUUAAUGGGCUCAGCAGUCUGAGCUUCAUUAACUCAUUCAUCACUUUUGGAGUCAGUUGCCGGAUCUAGCCUCUUUUUCCAGUGGAAGCAAGGUACUCCCCGCCUCUUCCCCCUCCUUUUUCCUGUCAUUCACUUUUUGGCUAAACCAUUCAAUCUGCGGCUUUUGUGGAAUCUAGUUCUACCAGCCCUUCCUGCUUCUCUUUGACAUCCUGUUCUUUCAGCUGUUACUUUCUGAAUCGCUAGCCUGUAUUCCUGAGCAAGAUAAGUUUAUCUCACUGUCACUGUGUAAAGGAGUCAGAUUCCGACUUCUCUCUGGCUCUUCCCACUCCAAUUCGGGUUCUUCUUUAUCUGUCAGCUCUGGCUCUCCCCCCUCCCUUCGGAUUCCAUUCCAUCUGUCAGAAAGUGAACAUCUCUGACAUAUGUCAUGAGAGCCAGUGUUGUGUUGUGGUUAAGAGCAGUAGACUCAUAAUCUGGGGAACAGGGUUCGCGUCUCCGCUCCUCCACAUGCAGCUGCUGGGUGACCUUGGGCUAGUCAUACUUCUCUGAAGUCUCUCAGCCCCACUCACCUCACAGAGUGUCUGUUGUGGGGGAGGAAGGGAAAGGAGAAUGUUAGCCACUUUGAGACUCCUUCGGGUAGUGAUAAAGUGGGAUAUCAAAUCCAAACUCUUCUUCUUCUUAUAAGGUGUGAUAUAAUAAUGUAAUGUAAUAUUUCCCAUCAUAUUGGUGGCAUGCAGGGGCAGUACCCAAUUGCUAGGGGGAAAGUCGUGGGGAUUUAAACAAGGUAAGUGCAAAGUGUUUAAUGGUCGUUGUAUUUGUGUUCGUUUAAAAACCAGUUAAAAAUUGUGUUUUUUUAAAACAAAAAAGCCCAUGGGACAAGACCUACUGCUGUUCUCCUUAGGGCUGACACUCAGCGAAGUCUGCACAGAUCAUGUUUUUCCUGAUAAAGGGUUAACUCCAACUUUGAAUGGUGCAAAUUACUGCCAGGUCACUCUUGACAGCUAUUGAAUGAAACUAGAGCUGUCAUUGGUGUAAACAGGGUGAGCAAGUGACUUAAACAGUGGUGGUAGCAAGCAGCAGUAGUGCCAUGUCACAAUUGGCCAAGGUCCCAAUUAUGACAACUGCUAUUGUUGGGCCACCAAGGGCUGCCUGACCAUGUGAAGCCCUGGAAGCAUGUUGUGAUAUAUUUUCCAAUUAUUUCAAGGAUUUAAAAGGUUCAUAUCCUCCUCAACAUGGAUGCAAUAGGUUUAGAUAUCCCAUCUGGACAGGGCAACAUCUGGCCUUCUCUGGGGGCCCCAUUCCUGCCUCUCUCCACCUGGCCCAGGGCAGGACCUGACAGGCCUCUGAACAACAGAGAGGGUUCUUUUAAAAAAUGUUUUUAAAUUAUUCUUUUACUCUUUUUAGUUUUGGGGUGGGAUAAAUGUUGGAGUUGGGGUUAGGGAUUUGUUUAAUUUUAGUAUGACUGUAACUUUUUAUUAUAAUUUUUUGUUUCUAUUGUUUUAUUGGUUUUUUUGUGUGGGUUGUAUUUUGCUUUUAAAGGGCGGGGUCAGGGCUGCCUGGGAGUGGGACCCAGCCAACAGAAUGGCUGGGGCAGGUUCCAUGGGGGGGGGGGAUACACUGGGACACCCGAUCUCAGUGAUCAUGGGUAGGAGGAGGAGUUACACUAAGACCAGACCAUGUCAUUACCGAGGAAGCAUUAUUUAGUCGCUCUUUGAGGACUAUCCCUGCCUCCGGGUCUGGUCUUGACAGGAUGGAUACUGGAAUCAGCAAGGGAGACCCACAUGACCUGAAGGUGCUGAUGUGCAAUGCCAGGUCAAUUACUCAUAAGAUCACUGCCAUCCAUGACUUGAUCAUGGAUGGAGGACUUGACCUGGCAUGUGUAACAGAGACUUAGUUGGAUGAAGCAGAUGGGCAUGUCAAAGGCUGCUUCUUGUCCACCAGGUUUCUCUUAGCAACCCAGACCUUGUGGGCAGGGGGGGGGGGUUGCAGUGAUUUUUAGGAAGUCAUUAGCUUGCACCAGGCAUCCUAUUGGGAAGACACAGUUUUCUGAGUGCAUGUUCUGGAAGUUGGGUAAUAGGGGCAGUACAGGAUUCCUUUUGGUGUAACGACCUCCCCACUGCACCAAGGAUUCCCUGCCUGAGCUACUUCAGUUAGUGGCGGAUGCAUAAGAAGGUCUGAAGGCACCUGGACAUGUGCUAAGGACUCUGAUUAAGGUUAAAACUUCACCAGUGGAACCCCUGAGUCUGGACCCACCCUGGAGUGGGUCAGGACACGGGCAACGAGACGUCCCAACCACACCAGAAGCUAGUUGUUCUAUGCAGAAGGGGAAGCUUGAAGAGUCGUCAGGUGUAAGAGAAUGGGAGGGGACGCCCACCACAUUGUGCUAAUCCAUAGGGCACCAUCACCCCAUCCAAGCAGUGUUCUGGUGGCCACGUGGGUUGCUUUAAGAAGGCUCAGGAUACAGGGAGGUGGAAAGAUUUUGCUCCUAGAGGAUGAAAGAGUUUAAUUACCUUGGCCUCACCCUCCAAAUCCCCAAGCACACCGGACAGCAGCUCCAAUCCGAAUAGGGCAACGGCAUUUAUACCCCUCUGGGCAAAAAUAGAGUUGCUAACGAGGCAAUUAUUUGUGCUGUAUCACCUAGUGUCCCAGGUUUUUCAAGCUGACAGUUACGGGGGAAACCCCACCCCCUGCAACUGUAGCUUGAAAUGGGGGGCAAGGGCCCCCAAAAUGUAAUAAUAGCACCCCUGAGUGUGACUGUUAAAAGGAACAUAUAGUAGCCUAUCGCUUUAAGAAACUGCUGAGAAAGCAUUUUACUUUCCAAGUAGCCCCCACCAUGGGAAGAGAGGACCUAAAAAGCUUAUCACAAGAACAGAAGCAGCCAUACACACAGCUAUACACGCAGGUUGAAAGCACACGAAUUCAAAGCACAAGAGCUUUUGCUACAAAAUGUAUCCAUGCGAAGGUUAUGCUUAUGCACAGUAGAUGUUGAGUUUUGUCAACAAAUGAACCAAUCUGAAUAUUAAUAUGCUUAUGCCAGAAGUACAGGCGCACUUAAAUGAAAUGUAACUAAAUAAGUUCUGGCUAAUGACAGCUUGUAUACUUCCUGGAAUGAGCUAAUGAUGCAUAUGAAUGGAGGGAAUCUUAAUGCAUUGUGGAAUAAACAUGUAAGCAACACCCCCCCCCCCCGGCUCUGGGUGUUGGAACCUGGGAUGGAAAGCCAGCUGGUUUGGCCCCAGCUGGAGCGUCUCCCUUCUCAGCUUUGCCGCUGCAGAGAUGCAUCAGUCAUCCUCCUCCGACAUGUGCCUGCGACUCAGGCUGCUGUGCAUGCAAGAGCACUCAUUACUCAGCAGAGUAAACACACAACAGAUCAGGCUUGAGGCAUGGAUGCUAUACUAAACUAUGCAUUUAUUAUACAUAAAUCAGGACAAAGAAAACAUGGCCUCUCUCUUAGUCGUUGUUCUUGGAGAGAGAGAAAAGAAAAGCAAUACAGAGCGGAUGUUCCGCUCACGGGACUCCAGCAAUCCGUGCUGGAAUGUAAACAGACAUGUGACAUGUAACAAUCCCACCUAUCUGCAGCAAGGGGUGGAAUGGAAUUCCCAACACUGGGGUGGGGUUCCAGCCUUUGUGGAGCAAUCCCGCUGAAACACUUUACUACAGUAAAUAAACUUUCUGGAUUCCUUCUUCAACCCGACUCACAAGUAGUUAAUGGCACUAGUGAGAGAGCAGAUCUGCAUUGCACCACAAGAGGAGCAACACAAAUGUGUGUGGGGGGGUGUUUUAAGGGGAUGAACGUUCCAAGAAGUCAUAAGUACAACCAGAGCUACAUUGGGGUACAGUGGGCAAUUGUCCCAAAUAACUGGACUGAGUUGUAGGAGUAUUUGGCUGCAAUGGAGCUUAGAGAAUUUGGUCAUGCUAUUCAGUGAUCUUUGUUGGGCUAGGCAAAAGCUGUUGUCCCAUGCCACAACUAACCGAGGUGCCAACUGCUAUUAUUGAGCCUACAAGGGGUGCCUGACCAUGUGAAGCCCUGGAAGCAUGUGGUAUAUUUUCCAAUUAUUUCAAGGAUUUAAAGGGUUCAUGUCUUCCACAACAUGGAUUCAGUACAUUUAGAUGUCCAGUCUGGACAGGACAUCACCUGGCCUUCUCAACAAGAAGCUUCUGGUGAAGGUUGCCCAUACCCUGACAACGCUCAUUGCAACUGAGGAGAAAUAGUGAAUGUGCUACGCUGGUGCCUUGAAUUGUGAAUGAACUGGAUUAAGGGUUUGAAUUGGAACUCAGUCUGGUGAAGAUGGAGAUACUGAGCAGCAGGAGGGGAGAAGAUAGGAUGGAUCUACUGGAUCUGGAUGUUUUGCAGGAGAUUGACCAGGGAUUUGGACUCCUAAGUGAUACUGGUGCAAUAAAUAUAUUUGACUUGUUUGAUUAAACAGGAGUGGUUUUGUGUGCAUGGAAGGACCAUGAGUUCCAUGCAAUUCCGGUGCUCAGAAGUUUUUGAUCCUUUUUUGCACUUCUCUCAGUACUCAUCUAGCCAAGGUCAUGGAGUUCAUGUCUGGAUAUGGUUAAACCUCUCAGACCAGCUCAAGGGGUCUCUUGGAUCCAGCUGUGUCACUGGGGAUAUAAGUGACAUCAGGUGGUUGGGGACAAUCUUUCAGCCAUGAUCCUGUCUCAAACAAAACACUGGCCAUGAUCAUUCACACUCUCACAUGCUCCAAAUUGGACUACAGUAGUGUGUUGCUCAGAGGUACCUUUGAAAAUUAUUUUGCUAAAACAGCUAAUCCAAAAUGCAGUUGGAAGCCUCUCGACCACAACAAUUGUCACCUGCAUUUUGAGAAAGCUCAAACCUGAGCAGCAAACCUCUGGAAUAUUCUAUAUUGUAAUUGGGAUGCAGUCAAAUCUUGCAACACAUAUUUUAAAAAUGAAUUUCACACCUGCAUUUUGACAUGUUUUUAAUGAGUAGAAUAUGCUGCUUCAUCUGUGUUGAGCAGAAAUAAGAUUUCUUGGCUUCCCCGACUGAAGAUCCAUCUCUUUUUUCAGGUAGUCGAGGAUAAGAACCAUGCACUGGCCUGGAGCUGCACAUCAUUUUUACUUGCAGCACAGUUUUUGAACGGCACAGUCGUUAUAUUGAUGGCUUUUUGGGAGGCAAAUUUUUAAGGAGAAGGCGGGAUUAAUGCAAAUGCCUCCCAGUUGAUUACAAUUCUUUCCAAAAGCGCCUGUAAGAGGGGAAAAUGGCAAGAAAUUUAGACAAAUAAGGAGAAUGAGAUACUGACUUGCAAGGCAGUCUGAUCAGCACAGAGAGAAGGGUGAUUUAAAGAGAAAAUGUACAGAGUGCAAUAGCAUGGAGAGAUUUAUUGAUGUAAAUCAUUUUCCUGUUUUUUCACAUUUAUUUUAAAUUGGGCUGUCACCAAAAACGGACCCUGAUACCUGGUGCACAGGAGUCGCUUAUUCUUAGUUGACUAAAGUAUUUUCCUUAUUUUUCAUAUUUAUUUUAGUUAUGAUUGUCACCCAAUUGAAGAAAUUAAUUCACUGUGUGAUUUUUAGAAGAAUAACUGAUUGAAUUUCAAUAAAUUUGCUUGUAAGCAAAUUCAGAGUCAGCAUGCAUGCACUAACUGUAUAUGAUGUACUAAUAUGUAUUAUCUUAGAGGAAACAUCCUCAAGGGUGGAAACAUGGUUCUUCCAUCCACAGAAGGGCUACUUGAAUUAUGCCACCUGAGGCACCUACCUCAGUCCACCUCAUGGAUGGGACCGGUGGUACUACAUGACUUCCAACCCCAUUUUUUUGUUUGGUCGUUUAUGUCCAGAUGUUUUUAAUUUCAGUGUAUGUUUUACCUUCAGAAAACAUGAUCAUCCCAGAAAACAGAAGGGCAACCAUGAAGAGCCAGCGCAAUUGCAUUGUUGAAGCUUGACUCGAUCUCAAGUUGAGCAGCAAAAGCAGAUUAGUGAAGCAGAAUGCUCUGGUGAGAGUUCUGGAAGGCUGAAUGCCCAACUAUUUACAGGGAUUCAUGAUGGACUCUUCAGGAUUCAGUGGGUUGUAAAAUCUAUUUGGUUGAUGUGCUGCCAAAUGCGGCAGUUCUUUCCAAGAAUAUCAGAACAAAAGGAAUGAGGAGGUGGAAGGGGAACCAAAACAGUUUUAUUAACAAACAAACAUACAUACAAAGCACAACACAAAACAUACCCGACAAGGGCCACCCAGUCUCCCCUUCAGCUGCCCGGAUCCCCAGGUAGAGCAACAGGAGAAAGACCCCGACCAUCGGUCUCCCAGCAUCAGGUCCUUUGAUCUGGGCGGAAGCUCACCAGGCCCUUCCCACCUAUGGCUUUUAUAGCCUGCAUUGAUGUAAUCAUGUGCACCUGGCAUUACUCAUGAUUAAUACAGAGUGGCUGAGUGUCUCCCACUACCUGCAUCUGGCAUCCAGCCAGCACUUGCAACACAGAAGAACCCAAUAAACUCCCGACAGGUGUGUGAAACACAAGAAUCCAACUGGGGAUGUUAAAGGGUGACAUAUACUCGGAGUCAAGAGUGGAUUUCAUGCUCUUUAUUCAGCUCAUAGUGGUGAGGAGGAAUGAAUGUUCCCCCAAAGUAUCUGCUUUAUAUACAUUAUUUACACAAUGGGCUGCACGUGAUUGGCUAAUUCCGGAAUUCUCCUGUAGGCCAAUCAGGUUGUGGAUUCACUUCCAUCUGGAGCUGGGUUGGGUGGCUCCUGCAGACCAAUCAUACUGCUGCAUUGUUCUAGGACCAAUCAGACUGCUGCAUUCUGAAUCCUAUUGUUCUAAGACCAAUCAUACUGCUGCAUUUUGGAUGCUAUUGUUCUAGAACCAAUCAGACUGCUGCAUUUUGGAUCCUAUUCAACUCAGUACAUAACAAAGGGAAAGGGACAUGCCACCUAACUCCUCGAAAUACAAUUGUCUCCCGCAUUUUCACUACAGUUGAGUGGAAUAAUAUGACCACAACUAGGAAGGCUGACAGGCCCACAUUAGAGGCACCAAGUGGCCCCCAAGAUUGAGAGGGCCUGGCAUGUGACUUAUGCAUGAGACAUCACACUGUCGGGUAGGAGGUCAAGGGCUCUGGAGGAGCUGGUCACUGAAGUUAGGUCAUGUUCGGCUCCGUGCUUGGCUUCCUCCUCCCCUCAACACUGAGGGGGCACAACCUCCUUCCCACAAAUAUUGUAGACCCUCCAAGUGUCCCUACUUUCCAGGGACAGUCUCAGAUUUUAAGAAGCUGUCCCAAUUUCUUAUUCGAUAACAGAAUGUCCCAUUUUUCCUUAGAAUGUAUCUACUGUAUUUUCAUCAGAGAAAUGCUGUAGGGCAUGGGAGUCAACUCCUAGGGACUGAUGGGACUUUGGCCCCCACAAUAAAAUAUUUGAGGGGGUGACCCCCCCCCAAAGUUGAUGAUCAUUCCCAUUCAGAUGUUCUGUGUACACUGUAUCAUAUGAUCGUUUAUGUGGGGCAGAGCUUACCUGGGCCCCCACAAUAUUUUAUUCAACUUGGCACCCCUGUUGGAGGGUAUGGAGUUAUCCGAACCUCAGGUCAUCUGAUGGCAACCCUGUUUAGGGAAGUUUUUCAAUAUUUAAUGUUUUAUUAUGUUUUCAUAUAUUUUGGAAUCUGCCCAGAGUGGCUGGGGCAACCCAGCCAGAUGGGUGGGUUAUAUAUAGCUAUACCGGCCAAUACCUCCAUUCCCCAGCAGUUGUUCCUGCAAGGAAUUGCCUGGUUCGCACAGGGUUGAAAGCAUGGGACUGAUAAUGUAUCUAUUCAUGCACAAUCUAUUUGUUAUGUUCUUUUAAUAUUCUUGCUAUUGUUCUGUUUCUAGUUACUUGGGGGAAAUGGGGAAAUACAGUUGUAAGGAGUGAAGGGAAGAAGUCCCGGGCACACAAGCAAUUUAGUGGUUUUUCCCAACCCUUCCAGAGAGUAAAGAAAGAAAGAAACCACCACUACCUUCCUGAUUGCAUUUAUGAAAAAUGAC
rnacentral:lncRNA from 1 species